rnacentral:tRNA from 1 species
GGGGUUGUAGCUUAGUGGUAGAGCACUCACCUAGCACAUGUGAGGCACUGGAUUCGAUCCUCAGCACCA